UCUCCGUAGGUGAACCUGCGGAGGGAUCAUUACAGAGUUCAUGCCCUACCGGGUAGAUCUCCCACCCUAUGUUAUUAUUACUUUGUUGCUUUGGCGGGCCGUUAGGCUCCGGCCCGACUACCGGCCCCGGCUGGUAAGCGCUCGCCAGAGGACCCAAAACCCUGAAUAUUAGUGUCGUCUGAGUACUAUAUAAUAGUUAAAACUUUCAACAACGGAUCUCUUGGUUCUGGCAUCGACGAAGAACGCAGC
rnacentral:misc_RNA from 1 species